rnacentral:rRNA from 2 species
UUAAUUUGAGAGUUUGAUCCUGGCUCAGGACGAACGCUGGCGGCGUGCCUAAUACAUGCAAGUCGAACGAACUCUGGUAUUGAUUGGUGCUUGCAUCAUGAUUUACAUUUGAGUGAGUGGCGAACUGGUGAGUAACACGUGGGAAACCUGCCCGGAAGCGGGGGAUAACACCUGGAAACAGAUGCUAAUACCGCAUAACAACUUGGACCGCAUGGUCCGAGCUUGAAAGAUGGCUUCGGCUAUCACUUCUGGAUGGUCCCGCGGCGUAUUAGCUAGAUGGUGAGGUAACGGCUCACCAUGGCAAUGAUACGUAGCCGACCUGAGAGGGUAAUCGGCCACAUUGGGACUGAGACACGGCCCAAACUCCUACGGGAGGCAGCAGUAGGGAAUCUUCCACAAUGGACGAAAGUCUGAUGGAGCAACGCCGCGUGAGUGAAGAAGGGUUUCGGCUCGUAAAACUCUGUUGUUAAAGAAGAACAUAUCUGAGAGUAACUGUUCAGGUAUUGACGGUAUUUAACCAGAAAGCCACGGCUAACUACGUGCCAGCAGCCGCGGUAAUACGUAGGUGGCAAGCGUUGUCCGGAUUUAUUGGGCGUAAAGCGAGCGCAGGCGGUUUUUUAAGUCUGAUGUGAAAGCCUUCGGCUCAACCGAAGAAGUGCAUCGGAAACUGGGAAACUUGAGUGCAGAAGAGGACAGUGGAACUCCAUGUGUAGCGGUGAAAUGCGUAGAUAUAUGGAAGAACACCAGUGGCGAAGGCGGCUGUCUGGUCUGUAACUGACGCUGAGGCUCGAAAGUAUGGGUAGCAAACAGGAUUAGAUACCCUGGUAGUCCAUACCGUAAACGAUGAAUGCUAAGUGUUGGAGGGUUUCCGCCCUUCAGUGCUGCAGCUAACGCAUUAAGCAUUCCGCCUGGGGAGUACGGCCGCAAGGCUGAAACUCAAAGGAAUUGACGGGGGCCCGCACAAGCGGUGGAGCAUGUGGUUUAAUUCGAAGCUACGCGAAGAACCUUACCAGGUCUUGACAUACUAUGCAAAUCUAAGAGAUUAGACGUUCCCUUCGGGGACAUGGAUACAGGUGGUGCAUGGUUGUCGUCAGCUCGUGUCGUGAGAUGUUGGGUUAAGUCCCGCAACGAGCGCAACCCUUAUUAUCAGUUGCCAGCAUUAAGUUGGGCACUCUGGUGAGACUGCCGGUGACAAACCGGAGGAAGGUGGGGAUGACGUCAAAUCAUCAUGCCCCUUAUGACCUGGGCUACACACGUGCUACAAUGGAUGGUACAACGAGUUGCGAACUCGCGAGAGUAAGCUAAUCUCUUAAAGCCAUUCUCAGUUCGGAUUGUAGGCUGCAACUCGCCUACAUGAAGUCGGAAUCGCUAGUAAUCGCGGAUCAGCAUGCCGCGGUGAAUACGUUCCCGGGCCUUGUACACACCGCCCGUCACACCAUGAGAGUUUGUAACACCCAAAGUCGGUGGGGUAACCUUUUAGGAACCAGCCGCCUAAGGUGGGACAGAUGAUUAGGGUGAAGUCGUAACAAGGUAGCCGUAGGAGAACCUGCGGCUGGAUCACCUCCUUUCUAAGGAA